ensembl:lncRNA
CAAACAUACGGCUCUGUCCCACUGAGUCGCCCUGUGCUUCAAUCCGUUCUGUUCCACGAUCAAAUCGAGUGGUCUUUAAUUGGGGGAUUAGAAGGCGGUUCUUCAGGGCUCACCUCAGGAAUAUUAGUGGUGGUUGAAAGAUGUACUCUGCCGCAUAUACCAACGAGCUCUGUUCCACAGACGACACUUCCAGGGACAUGCAGGAUCUUGUUCAGGUGGUCUUGUCCUCCUGCCUUUCGGUCCUCAUAGUUUUUGGGCUCGGCUUCAGUUGCGGAGGUUCAGUUUUAUAGUUUGGGUUACCACUAAUCGACAGUGGGCCUAUUCACAUUUGGUAUUGCAAUACAACGUCGAAAUCAU